CCUACGGGAUGCAGCAGUGAGGAAUAUUGGUCAAUGGCCGAGAGGCUGAACCAGCCAAGUCGCGUGAGGGAAGACGGCCCUACGGGUGGUAAACCUCUUUUGUCGGGGAGCAAAUCGCACCGCGUGUGGUUCAUUGCACGUACCCGAAGAAAAAGCAUCGGCUCACUCCGUGCCAGCAGCCGCGGUAAUACGGAGGAGGCGAGCGUUAUCCGGAUUGAUUGGGGUAAAGGGGGGCGCAGGCGGCGGUGAAAGUUCGCGGUCAAAUUGCGGGGCUCAACCCCGUACUGCCGCUGAAACUGCGUACCUGGAGUGCGCGAGAAGUAGGCGGAAUGCGUGGUGUAGCGGUGAAAUGCAUAGAUAUCACGCAGAACUCCGAUGGCGAAGGCAACAUACCGGAGCGCAACUGACGCUCAUGCACGAAAGCGUGGGUAUCGAACAGGAUUAGAUACCCGGGUAGUC
rnacentral:rRNA from 1 species